rnacentral:rRNA from 1 species
GCUCUCAGCCAAUCAGGGCUGGUGCAAAAGCUGAACAGGAUUGGCCCAGUUUGUGCUUGGAUGGGAGACCAUGUAGGAGUACUAGGCAUUGUAGGCU